CCCUUAGAUGUUCUGGGCCGCACGCGUGCUACACUGAUGCAUUCAACGAGUCUAAAACCUGGUCUGAUAGGGCUGGGUAAUCUUUUGAAAGUGCAUCGUGAUUGGGAUAGAUGAUUGCAAUUCUUCAUCUUCAACGAGGAAUGCCUAGUAAACGCAAGUCAUCAGCUUGCAUUGAUUACGUCCCUGCCCUUUGUACACACCGCCCGUCGCACCUACCGAUUGAAUGGUCCGGUGAAAUCUCGGGACGGCGGCUUGGUCGCUUGCGUCCGACUGCUGAAACUUGAUUAAACCAUAUCAUUUAGAGGAAGGUGAAGUCGUAACA
rnacentral:rRNA from 1 species